AGGAAACUUUGGGUUGGGAUGGGGGUGGUGGUGGUUGUGAAAUCCAAAAUGCUAUAUGAGGUAGACAGACCAUAAGCACCAAAUGUACCGACUAUAGAAACCAAAAUCCCGAAUUGCUAUAUGACAUUCUGCUCUCCGUGAGAAAACGCCAGUGUCGUCCCGAGCAAAACGCCCAAAUGCCUUAUUUGCCAAAUGCUCAUCUCCUCUCCGUGAGAAAACCCCAGCGUCGUCCCGAGCAAAACCCUAGAACCUUGUCUCUUUUCAGCUUUUCUGCUGCUUCGAAGCCCAAAGUUGAGGUUCAAUCCUCUGCCAAAAUAUCGAACCCGAAACAGGGAAGCCCAAAGUUGUGAUACGCGAUCUGUAAAUAUAGUCCCUGCAAGAAGAUGGAUGCUCAAUUGAGAUCCCUCCCCACCUCAUUUCCCUCAUGCCGUGGCCUAAACCUUAUGUGGAAGGAGGAGUUUGGUUAAGAUACGCAAUGAAGAAUCUUAUUUGAUAUCAAAUUCAAUAUCUACAAAAUUCGAAGUCAACUAAGUAUGAUUACUAACAGUGGAACAAUGGCAACCUCUCUUUUUAAUUCUUUUUAUAUUUUUGGUCGAAGCCUCUUUUUUUUAUUUUUUUAAUAAAUAACAUUAUUUAUAUUAAAAAAAUAAAGGGUAGAUUUAACUUUACAAUGAACUAGGAACACCAUCCUAUCGUACUAUUAAAUGAUUUAUUAGUUUAUUUUUAGAUCAUCAGGAUUGAUUGAGAAGACCUACGAGAAUUCCGUUUAAGGCAAUCAUCUCAAUUUGUAGGACUAGGAUGUGAUCGGAUAAUUGUAGAAUUCAAAGCCUUCUGCAGAAUUUGAUUAAUUCUCCCAACAAUUAAUACUGCUAAACAUAAAAGAAAAUGCCAAUUUUCCACUUAGUGGAAAAAUACUUUGUUGUUGUUGAACAAUGAUCUAUUUAUACACAGAAGCUAUCCUGGCUGAAAAAAUAAUUCUGUUGUAAAACAAAAAAAAACCAAACAACUUGCAUCCUCCGCCGCUGCUGCCAUCCGAAGGACCUCCAGACUCCAACCAGUUGCCAGAAAGCAAGCCAAAUCGAGCCCCCAAAGUGGAGAAAAAGAAGGCGUCAACAACCGCCAAAAGCACAUCGAAGAUCGGCACCACAAAUCGUAGGAAGCUCGCAGGAAACAACCCACGAGCAACAGAGGCAACAAGGAAGUCAAGGGAAGAAGGUGGUGAGAACAACCGAGCAUCGAAAAAAUCCGAAGCUCUACACAUCUCCCUCCUAAACGGGCGUUCACGGUGUGGAUUAGUGGAAGCCGAUCUAGAGGAUAAGGGCACUGGAGGAGUGAGCCAAGUGGAAAGGGUAGGGUGUGGAGGGAUGAAAACGAAGUAGGUGGAGGGAAAAGGAAAGGAAGAAAGGGGAGUUGAGGAAGGGAAACCAGAGGCAGCAGA